UUAUUUCUAGGAAACCGUCUCUCUCUCAAAAGCUAAGUGAAUUAGCUCAACAUGUUGACUUUGGAGAAGACUAAGAGAGCUGAUGAUGAUAAUGACAGAGAAGAAGGAAAGAAGAAACAAGAGGAGGAGGAGGAGGAGGGAGUUUCUGGUCCUACAACUAAGAAACCAAGUCAUUGCUGGCCAUGCACUGAUGGGAAUUCACACACUCAAAACUCAAGCAAGCAUUGACUGAAGUUAGUGUACUGUCUGAUGUGUUACAAAUUGUUCAUAAUCAUCAUCAAUACUUGUCACUGGAUCCAGUUUAUGUUAAUAAGAAAUACACAUUACCUCCUUCAUAUCAAUGCCAAAUUAAAAAGAAGGCACUUGAUGUAGCUUCCUAGAUAUUAAGAAAAGGAGCUGAGCCACUCCAGAGAUUAUCCAGUCAAACUGAUCACAAGUUCUACAGAGCAUUAUAUGAUUUAAGAAGAAAAUGGAUACCACGUAGAACAGCUAAUGGAGUCAGUGGAGACCUCAGCUAUAGAUCAGGUAACUUAAUUGGAAUGAAGUAUAAGACACACACAGUAUAACAGUAAUGGGCACUAUAGUAUGAACUAUGAAGCAACUUAUUUUGUAAAAAAAAAUCUAAUUUUGAUUGGAAU